CUUCGGUCAAACCCUUAGUGUAUCCCUCUGCAAAGUUCCCAACAACCCAAUGUCAAAUGUGAAAACACCCGUUCAGCUAUACAAAUACCUACUUAGGCAAGUUAGGCUUCUGCCUAAAAAUUCACAGGACUACUACAACAAUUAUGUGAGACAGGGUUACAAUAGCCAUGCAGAUGAGACGGAUCCAGAACGAAUCCAACAAAUUAUUGCAAAAGCGAUGGAAGAUAGUAAAUGGUUGGUGAAUAAAUAUACAAAGUAACACCAAAGAAAAUAUUGACUACCAGCAACUCAAAACAACUAGAGAGACAUUUGAAGUUACCUUGUAUCUGCAUUCAUCAUGAUCAGUGUGUUUUAAAUGAUGAUUGAACAUUUCGUACGACGAGCUCAGAGAUGUUUAUAAAGUUU